rnacentral:rRNA from 1 species
CAGCCGCCGCGGUAAAACGUAGGGUGCAAGCGUUAAUCGGAAUUACUGGGCGUAAAGCGUGCGCAGGCGGUUUGUUAAGACAGAUGUGAAAUCCCCGGGCUCAACCUGGGAACUGCAUUUGUGACUGGCAGGCUAGAGUAUGGCAGAGGGGGGUGGAAUUCCGCGUGUAGCAGUGAAAUGCGUAGAUAUGCGGAGGAACACCGAUGGCGAAGGCAGCCCCCUGGGCCAAUACUGACGCUCAUGCACGAAAGCGUGGGGAGCAAACAGGAUUAGAUACCCCAGUAGUCCCUGUCUCUUAUAC